UGGCCACAGUAAACGCCCUUGCAUCCUAUUGAGUGAGCCAAGGAUAAGCCUAGUCCCUGGCAGGGUGCAGGAUUCUAUCCUGAAAUACACCCCCUCCACUUUCCCCUAUUCCAGUCCACUGGGGCCUCUCCUCCAGGCAAGAAACAUGAUCUCCUUUUGAC
ensembl:misc_RNA